UGAUUCUGGAUUCGACGGGAUUUGCGAAACCCAAGGUGCAUGCCGAGGGGCGGUUGGCCUCGUAAAAAGCCGCAAAAAAUAGUCGCAAACGACGAAAACUACGCUUUAGCAGCUUAAUAACCUGCUUAGAGCCCUCUCUCCCUAGCCUCCGCUCUUAGGACGGGGAUCAAGAGAGGUCAAACCCAAAAGAGAUCGCGUGGAAGCCCUGCCUGGGGUUGAAGCGUUAAAACUUAAUCAGGCUAGUUUGUUAGUGGCGUGUCCGUCCGCAGCUGGCAAGCGAAUGUAAAGACUGACUAAGCAUGUAGUACCGAGGAUGUAGGAAUUUCGGACGCGGGUUCAACUCCCGCCAGCUCCACCA
rnacentral:tmRNA from 1 species